UGGGUGAUGUGCUGGACCUCCCCCAA
rnacentral:piRNA from 1 species